rnacentral:sRNA from 1 species
ACUGUAGUACGUUGCAGAUAAUCCUUAGGUCGCUGGUUCGAAUCCCGGCAGGUCGGAUGUUUU